AUGGAGAGAUUAGAGAAGCUGGGACACACAAAGACCUGAUGAAAGCAAAGGAUCGAUAUGCUCAACUUAUCAACAAUUACCAGCUGGAGCAGCCGAAUGAUCAGAACCAAGACCAAGCAGCCUCAGAAGUGAAAAAGGGCCCAACAGAA